AAAAAAAUCAUUCAUUGCUGCUUUUAUAGGUCCUAACCAUUGUGCCAAAAUUCUCAGGAUUACCAAAAUGCAAUGCAAAUCAAGCAAACACAAUCUAACAUUAUUGAAGAACCACCAUGGAAAUGUGGCUAUAAUUUUAAGUUGCUCAAUAAUCUUGUGUCUCUCCACCCUCCCCAAUCCUCUUCAAUUGGCCUUCCCACCUUUUAACAUGGCUAGUGAAGGGUGUUUUUUUUAACCAAAAAAAAAAAAAUCAUAAA
rnacentral:misc_RNA from 1 species